ACAUGCACACCACAGAGCGUGGCGAUGGAACAGUAACCGGGCUUGUGAGAGGGCUCUACGGUAUCAACUAGGAGACAAGAUCCACGGAUUCACCGUAAACCAGCUAGUGAUUAUACUCUGUAUCCAUUUUCCACACAAAAUCCCAAGGACCUUCAGAAUCUCCUCUCGGUGUAUUUGGACGCCACCUUUUUCCCAUGUUUACGCGAGCUGGAUUUCUGGGUGAAACCUGAGGAAGCCCCAGGAACAUUCAGUGAGGGGUUAGGAGGGAGGAGAACACGGUGGAUGAAAAACAAAAAGGAAAUGCACCAGCAUUCACUGGCGGGCUCUGUCACCCACAGGACAAGGAUGAAGACGUGCACACCUGCCGUGCGGGCUUUCAGCCUCACAGGUGCCCCAAGAGCCAUCUCUACCGGGCACUAUGUGGAUGCAUCGGUGACAAAAUGGAAAGCCUCUGGUCCUGGCGGAGCUUGUUCCGAUCAAGAGAGACCCGAAAGCAAGAAACACGACACUGAGUCUCACUAUGUUGUCCAGGCUGCUCUGGAACUCCUGGGCUCAAGCGAUCCUCCUGCCUCGGCCUUCCAAUGCACUGGGAUGACAAGCAUGAGCUACCGUGCAGGACCCACAGCACUUAAAUUCCAUAAUCACCUUGAAACCCUGACCUUCCACCCGCCCUGGUGGCUUCCAGAGUGCGCGGUCCCGAAACGGGAGGAAAUCCGCCAUCCGGGCCUUUCCACGCAUCUUCGGCAGGAGGAACCGGGAAAAUAA
rnacentral:lncRNA from 10 species